AUGUUUAAGGUUAUGUUUAGAAACAGAAAAAAGUUUUUGGUUACUGAUGUUCUGAAAUUCAGUUUUCUUAUUACGAAAACCAGGGGCCUGACAAAGUCCCUUCUUAGCCGAACUCAGCAAAUUAAUGGCGGACGAUUUGCAGGAAAAUUCUGCUAUCAUUCAAUAGCGCCAUCUAUUGGUUAGCACCGCCGAAAUUUUAACAUAACCUCAAAAUUUGUUUACAUUUCCACUAAAACGUCCGAAAUCGAGAAUAUUUAAUUAAUUUAUUUAGUUUUAAAUUAUUUUAUCGUCCCCAAGUGAUAAAGACCGGUAAUUUGGGUAAGAGAAAGUGAUUUUAGAAAAAAAUUGUGUAGUUUUAUAAAGAAAGUGCAAAAAAAUACUUCAGAAAAAUCAUACAAGGCAAUUUAUCACCACCAGAAAGCCCGGAAAUUUCACAUAGGCAGGACUCGAACGGCAGGAAAAUAUAGAGAUAUUCUGCAAAAUAAAUGUGAGAUCAACGCAAUGGAGAAUUAUCCACAAUACACGGCAUCCUUGUCCGGGAAUACAGUGAUCACUGUAUGGAACGACGAAUCCAAAAGGAAAUAAAGUGUAUCACUAUGAUUUCAUGCAUUUCAUGGGACGGGUAAGACUACGGGGGUGUCUUCCUCAAUUUUCAAUCUUUUAGCUCAAAAAAUGCAUGUUAAAUUCUCAUUAAAUAAAAUGUAACAGCAACAAUAAGAAGAGGGCCCAUUCACGCUGCUCCAGCCGCUCCAGCCCAUAAAUUUCAGGGUUUUCUCAUGGGAAUCAAGAACGAUCUCCCCGUCAAGUGUUUUGUAAGAUGAACUUGGAGAAAGAAUUAGUGAUACACCUUGAUAAGACUGUAAAAAUUACCAAAAUUGUUCGUGCUUGUGAUCAGUCAGUGAUUCAUUUACUUGGAUGGAUAAGGAAGAAAGCCAUUGAGAAAGUUCCAAGGAUGAACAUUUUUCCACGAGUUUCUUCCUUUCCCGCAAACGUAUUUUUAACAAGGCAGUUGCAUAAACAACCCCACUGCUGGUACAUUUUCCGACGAAGAUCUUGGAGUGGAAAAAUUCCUGUUUUCUACAGCAAAUCCUCUAAGAAAGUCACAACAUCGAGAUUCAGCAUUAGGAGAGUUGAAGAGGAAAUUCUCAAUACGGGAAAUGCAGAUUACUGGUUGGAAAAACCAGAGAAGGAUUUAUUCCCGGAAUGUGAAAAAUUCGAAGAGAUGUUAGAAAAGGAGGAUUUCUACUCAUAAUAAUACAACAAGGGAAUCCUUCAUUUGAUGAGAUUCUUCAUGCCCUUCACGAUGUUCCGGCCUAUCAUUUAUGUGACACAGAACAUCUAGCUACAAAACAUACAGCUCACUCAUUGGAAUAGAGUUAGAAGUUUAAAUGUGAUAUUUGAGGUAUCACCCCAAAGUUGAUCUAAAUCUGCACUCUGGCAAUUCUCAUCGAUGAAGCGGUACAUCCUUCACUGUAGCUCCUGCGGGGAAAUGCAGGAGAUAUAUCGCCAAUGAUCACAGUACUGAGACUCCUAUUUUGCUACCUAAGAAUCAAAAUAUAUGAUUAUUAGUUGUGAAGAAAUCAAUAUCAGUACUACGUAGGAUAUACCUAUCAGCCAGCGAUGCACAUAAACCGCGUCACCUCAUUCAGGACUUCACAAUUACUGCCCUCAUUCCGUACAUUGAGCAAUUCGUUUUGAGUGAGCCUAUUGCAACGAAGAAAACCAGCAAUCUUCCGGAAAAAAAUAUGUUGAUCAUAUAGAUGCGACAGAGCUAAAAGAAACAAUAAAAAGGAAAUCAGAUAAUACAAGUGCUUUCUCUUUAAAAUUGAUUAAAACUUACAUAUC